UACGUAGGGUGCGAGCGUUGUCCGGAAUUAUUGGGUUUAAAGGGUGCGUAGGCGGUCUUUUAAGUCAGUGCUGAAAUACUCCAGCUUAACUGGAGGGGAGGCAUUGAUACUGGAAGACUUGAGUGUAGUUGAAGUAGGCGGAAUUGACGGUGUAGCGGUGAAAUGCUUAGAUAUCGUCAAGAACACCGAUAGUGAAGACAGCUUACUAAGCUACAACUGACGCUGAGGCACGAAAGUGUGGGGAUCAAACAGG
rnacentral:rRNA from 1 species